AGGGUUUGAUCCUGGCUCAGGGCUAACGCUGGCGGCGUGUCUUAGCCAUGCAAGUCGUGCGGGGAGUCUCCCUUCGGGGAGAUUUUCCCAGCGGCGGACGGCGGAGUAACACGUGGCUAACCUGCCCCUGGGAGGGGGACAACCCGGGGAAACCUGGGCUAAUCCCCCAUACAGUCCCGAUAGGGCAUCCUGUCGGGAUGAAAGGGGGCCUCUCCUCUGGAUGCUCCCGCCCAGGGAGGGGGCCGCGGCCCAUCAGGUAGUUGGUGGGGUAAUGGCCCACCAAGCCUAUGACGGGUAGCCGGCGUGAGAGCGUGGCCGGCCCGAGGGGCACUGAGACACGGGCCCCACUCCUACGGGAGGCAGCAGGCUAGAAAUUUGGGCAAUGGGGGAAACCCUGACCCAGCGACGCCGCGUGGGGGAAGACGCCCUUCGGGGUGUAAACCCCUGUCAGGGAGGACGAUGCCUCGAUGGGUGAAUAACCCAUUGGGGUGACGGUACUCCCAGAGGAAGCCCUGGCUAACCUCGUGCCAGCAGCCGCGGUAAUACGGGGAGGGCAAGCGUUGCCCGGAAUCACUGGGCUUAAAGGGGGUGUAGGCGGCCGGGUGUGUCGGACGUGUAAUCCAUCGGCUCAACCGGUGGGCUGCGUCCGAAACUACCCGGCUAGAGGGCGCCAGAGGGGAGCGGAACUCACGGUGUAGCGGUGAAAUGCGUGGAUAUCGUGGGGAACGCCAGUGGGGAAGCCGGCUCCCUGGGGCGACCCUGACGCUGAGGCCCGAAAGCUGGGGGAGCGAAGGGGAUUAGAUACCCCCGUAGUCCCAGCCGUAAACGAUGCGGGCUAGCCGUGGGUUCCCUUCGGGGAAUCCGUGGCGCAGGGAAACCGGUAAGCCCGCCGCCUGGGGAGUACGCCCGCAAGGGUGAAACUCAAAGGAAUUGACGGGGGGGCGCACAAGCGGUGGAGCGCGUGGUUCAAUUCGAUGCUAACCGAAGAACCUUACCCGGGCUUGACAUGCCGGUAGUAUCCCCCUCGAAAGAGGGGGAGAUCCCCCUUUGGGGGAAGCCGGCACAGGUGCUGCACGGCUGUCGUCAGCUCGUGCCGUGAGGUGUUGGGUUAAGUCCCGCAACGAGCGCAACCCCUGCCCUUAGUUGCCACAGCGGCUACGUGCCGGCUGGGCACUCUAAGGGGACUGCCCCCGAUGAGGGGGAGGAAGGUGGGGAUGACGUCAAGUCCGUGUGGCCUUUAUGCCCGGGGCUACACACGCGCUACAAUGGGUGGGACAGAGGGAAGCGACCCCGCAAGGGGGAGCAAAUCCCAAAACCCACCCCCAGUUCGGAUCGGGGUCUGCAACUCGACCCCGUGAAGCCGGAAUCGCUAGUAAUCGCCGGUCAGCAAUACGGCGGUGAAUACGUUCCCGCCCCUUGUACACACCGCCCGUCACGCCAUGGAAGC
rnacentral:rRNA from 1 species